GACGGAGGGUGCUAGCGUUGUUCGGAAUGACUGGGCGUAAAGCGCGCGUAGGCGGCUACUUAAGUCGGAUGUGAAAGCCCUUGGCUCAACUGAGGAAGUGCACCCGAAACUGAGUGGCUUGAGUACUAAAGAGGGUCGCGGAAUUCCCGGUGUAGAGGUGAAAUUCGUAGAUAUCGGGAGGAACACCGGUGGCGAAGGCGGCGACCUGGGUAGAUACUGACGCUGAGGCGCGAAAGCGUGGGGAGCAAACAGG
rnacentral:rRNA from 1 species